rnacentral:rRNA from 1 species
GAUGAACGCUGGCGGCGUGCCUAAUACAUGCAAGUCGAGCGAACAGACGAGGAGCUUGCUCCUCUGACGUUAGCGGCGGACGGGUGAGUAACACGUGGAUAACCUACCUAUAAGACUGGGAUAACUUCGGGAAACCGGAGCUAAUACCGGAUAACAUGUUGAACCGCAUGGUUCAACAGUGAAAGACGGUCUUGCUGUCACUUAUAGAUGGAUCCGCGCCGCAUUAGCUAGUUGGUAAGGUAACGGCUUACCAAGGCAACGAUGCGUAGCCGACCUGAGAGGGUGAUCGGCCACACUGGAACUGAGACACGGUCCAGACUACUACGGGAGGCAGCAGUAGGGAAUCUUCCGCAAUGGGCGAAAUCCUGACGGAGCAACGCCGCGUGAGUGAAGAAGGUCUUCGGAUCGUAAAACUCUGUUAUUAGGGAAGAACAAAUGUGUAAGUAACUAUGCACGUCUUGACGGUACCUAAUCAGAAAGCCACGGCUAACUACGUG